UACAGAGGUCUCAAGCGUUGUUCGGAUUCAUUGGGCGUAAAGGGUGCGUAGGCGGCGCGGUAAGUCGGGGUGUGAAAUCUCGGAGCUUAACUCCGAAACUGCAUUCGAUACUGCCGUGCUUGAGGACUGGAGAGGAGACUGGAAUUUACGGUGUAGCGGUGAAAUGCGUAGAUAUCGUAAGGAAGACCAGUGGCGAAGGCGGGUCUCUGGACAGUUCCUGACGCUGAGGCA
rnacentral:rRNA from 1 species